GGGCUUGCAGCUCAGUGGUAGAGCACUUGCCUUGUGUGUGUGAGAUUCUGGGUUCAAUUCUCAGCACCA
rnacentral:tRNA from 1 species